UGAGGAAUAUUGGACAAUGGAGGCAACUCUGAUCCAGCCAUGCCGCGUGAGUGAUGAAGGCCUUCGGGUUGUAAAGCUCUUUCAGAUGCGAAGAUAAUGACGGUAACAUCAGAAGAAGCCCCGGCUAAAUUCGUGCCAGCAGCCGCGGUAAUACGAAUGGGGCAAGCGUUGUUCGGAAUCACUGGGCUUAAAGCGUGCGCAGGCGGUCUUGAAAGUCAGGAGUGAAAUCCCAGGGCUCAACCCUGGAAUUGCUUUUGAAACUCCAAGACUAGAAUACUGGAGAGGUUAGCAGAAUUCCGAGUGUAGAGGUGAAAUUCGCAGAUAUUCGGAGGAAUACCAAUGGCGAAGGCAGCUAACUGGACAGUCAUUGACGCUCAGGCACGAAAGCGUGGGUAGCAAA
rnacentral:rRNA from 1 species